CCUUCGAUAGCUCAGUUGGAAGAGCGUGGGACUGUAAUUGGAUACCCAAGUAUCAUCCCAAGGUCACUGGUUCGACCCCGGUUCGAAGGA